rnacentral:rRNA from 1 species
GAUGAGCCAAGUUUAAGAGUUUUACUUAUAAAACUCGAAAUGAUUUUAACUGAAGAGUUUGAUCAUGGCUCAGAUUGAACGCUGGCGGCAGGCUUAACACAUGCAAGUCGAGCGGGCGAGGUUGCUUCGGUAACUGAGCUAGCGGCGGACGGGUGAGUAAAGCUUAGGAAUCUGCCUAUUAGUGGGGGACAACAUUCCGAAAGGGAUGCUAAUACCGCAUACGUCCUACGGGAGAAAGCAGGG